CUGAUAAUUUUUUUGAGACACAUCAGUUGGCCACGAGCUUGUUCUAGAAGUAGAAACUCCCUUGGAUAUUUCUUCCUCUUGUAACUGAUUCAGCGCAAGGUCCUCUUGAGACUCAUCACAACUAAGUGGAAAACCACUGUCUUUGGGGAUGCUUCCAUUCACAGGUGAUGGAACCAUCCUGGGUUUGCCAAAUCGCCAAGGUUCAAGCAGAUGUGCAUUUGUAAGUAUCAGCCCGGUUUUAUUCAAGAUAACGCCUGAAGCCCAUGCCCCAUCUCCAAUAGUAAUGAGAACCACUGAGGU
rnacentral:lncRNA from 1 species